rnacentral:rRNA from 1 species
UACAGAGGGUGCAAGCGUUGUUCGGAAUUAUUGGGCGUAAAGCGCGUGUAGGCGGCUUGGCAAGUCAGAUGUGAAAGCCCUCGGCUUAACCGAGGAAGUGCGUCUGAAACUGCUGAGCUUGAGUCUCGGAGAGGAUGGCGGAAUUCCGCAAGUAGAGGUGAAAUUCGUAGAUAUGCGGAGGAACACCGGUGGCGAAGGGCGGCCAUCUGGACGAGUACUGACGCUGAGAGCGAAAGCGUGGGGAAGCAAACAGGG